CCUGAUCAGCCAUGCCGCGUGUGUGAAGAAGGCCUUAUGGUUGUAAAGCACUUUAAGCGAGGAGGAGGCUACUUUAGUUAAUACCUAGAGAUAGUGGACGUUACUCGCAGAAUAAGCACCGGCUAACUCUGUGCCAGCAGCCGCGGUAAU
rnacentral:rRNA from 1 species